rnacentral:rRNA from 1 species
AAUGAACGCUGGCGGCAUGCCUUACACAUGCAAGUCGAACGGUAACAGGUCUUCCUAUGCUGACUAGCGGCGGACGGGGGCGUAAUACAUCCGAACGUGCCCGAUCGCUGUGGAUAACGAAGCGCAAGCUUUGCUAAUACCUCAUACGAUCUACUGUUGAAAGCGGGGUAUCUCCGGACCUCGCGCGGACGUUGCGGCCGCUGGUAGAUUAGUUCGUUGGUGGGAUACAAGCUUACCAGGCCGACGAUCUGUAGCUCGUCUGUGAGGAUGAGCAGCCACACUGGACCUGAGACACGGCCCAGACUCCUAGGGGAGGCAGAGGUGGGGAAUUUUGGACAAUGGGCGAAAGCUUGCGCCAGCAAGGCGGGGUGGAGGAGGAAGGCCUCCGGGUGGUAAACUGCUUUUGUACGGAACGAAAAGGUGCCUUCUAAUAAAGGGCGCUCAGACGGGUACCGUAAGAAUAAGCACGGGCAAACUACGU